CAUAAGUGUUGAUUAAGUCUUUCGGAUUUCGGUCUGUCUCAAGCCUCACUCACAACCUGCCGUAAGUGUUUUGGACACGCACGGGUCGCAGGGUUUGGUAGCUCACAGCCGUGCCGCAGGGCCGUGGUGAACCCGGGGGAAAGUUUGGAGGAGGAGUACGGGCAAAGUACUUGUCAAGUACAGGUUGCACACCUGACUUCCUUGAGGCGUGGGAAAAAUGAAUUUCUCUCUGCACGGACAUUGAGAAGUCUGCCUUCAAGCCGGCAGAAGGCACAGCAGCCCGCCAGAGGGAUUUCCACAGCUAAUGACGCCCAGAAGUGAGGACACUGCAAUCCCAUCAUCGCUGUCAGGCCAUUGUGCCAUGCUCAGUGAUGAGGACAAGGACUUCCCGACACCCCGUCCCACCAUUCAGCAGGAGCAGGACAGCAGCUCGGAGUCACAGUGUGUUUCAGUGCUCAAACUGUUGGGCUAUUUAGUUGGGAUUUUUUUUACAAUGUACUAAAAUGCGUUAUUCCCUUAUACUGACGUUUUAUUAUUUGACGUUUGCAUAGUAAAUUAACAUACACUCAAAUAAAAACAGCAAAUGA